UACUAAAAUUACCUUCCUUUAAAAAGAGUAAAUUUGUUUGCCCGACCAAGGCCGGUUAGCCGUCAGAUACAGCCCAAAUGUAGAUAACUAAGGAGUGAAUACUGACAGAUAGUGACUGUGAUAUUUUGAAAAUGGAAUUAACAUUGAGAACUUUACCUCGUGUUUUACACAAAACACAGACUGUGAGUUGCCGUAGAAUCAGCCUGUGUCACACACGCCUCUUUCAAAAUGGUGUGAAUGAAAAGUCACUAGUUGCAGCUAGAUUGAGCACAAAGUCAGAUAUUGUAACCGAGAGGACUCUGUUCCAAAUGUUGCCUGUUGUUUACUGGCAGACUGACAGACAUAUGAGGAGAUUGCCAAAGAGUGUGAGGCUGAGGACAUACCCAAGGAAACAAACGAAGAAGGUCAAUAAGUGAUCAAGAUGCGCAUGAUGCAACUUCCUGGAUGGUGCUGAGCCUGUUGGUCAACAUGUGGAACCCCUGUGUACUUGGGGGUAGGAGUUGUCUCCCUUGUUAAAGUUCAACAAUCGCGGAUAAACAAUGCGGGAUGCUGUCUUGUCACCAAUGGUGGAAUUUGACGCCUGUAUACCUGUAUUUCUACCAAUCGUCUCAGUCCUCUUUGUUGUGUACAUCAGACAGAUGAUGGACCACUCUACUACCCUUACAACAGGUGCCCCUACAGAUUCACAAAGUUCCAAUGUUGAAUUUCCAUGACCCCAUUUGAUCUGCGACAGGAGAAGGAAUGAAGUUGGCAGGACUUUCCGCCCUGUCCUUGGUAGCAGCUGAUGAUGGAAAGGACAGAGUUGACAUGGCUCAUUUCAUCAAAGAUGCACCGAAAGCAGCGGCACUAUCUCCAUCACUGGUAAAAUGGGAAAUGACGAGUGGACGGUCAUCACUUUGCAGCUCACUGAUGCAUUCCGCAGCUGAUCUCUUUUCGUCUCCAAUGGUGGUCUCUAAAGGAAUGGUUGCAGUGCAGUCUUCAUGUCGU